UACGUAGGGGGCAAGCGUUGUCCGGAUUUAUUGGGCGUAAAGAGCGUGUAGGCGGCCAUACAGGUCAGCUGUGAAAACUCGAGGCUCAACCUCGAGACGUCGGUUGAAACCGUAUGGCUAGAGUCCGGAAGAGGAGAGUGGAAUUCCCGGUGUAGCGGUGAAAUGCGCAGAUAUCGGGAAGAACACCCGUGGCGAAGGCGGCUCUCUGGGACGGUACUGGACGGCUGAGACGCGAAAGCGUGGGGAGCGAACAGG
rnacentral:rRNA from 1 species